rnacentral:rRNA from 1 species
UACGUAGGCAGCGAGCGUUGUUCGGAGUUACUGGGCGUAAAGGGUGUGUAGGCGGUUCUUUUAAGUUUGGUGUGAAAUCUCCCGGCUCAACCGGGAGGGUGCGCCGAAUACUGAGGGACUAGAGUACGGGAGAGGAAAGUGGAAUUCCUGGUGUAGCGGUGAAAUGCGUAGAUAUCAGGAGGAACACCGGUGGUGUAGACGGCU